GUCCUCGUAGCUCAGUUGGAUAGAGCAUGGAGCUUCUACCUCCAGUGUCAGGGGUUCGAAUCCCUUCGAGGACGCCA
rnacentral:tRNA from 1 species